UACGAAGGGGGCUAGCGUUGCUCGGAAUCACUGGGCGUAAAGCGCACGUAGGCGGAUUGCUAAGUCAGGGGUGAAAUCCUGGAGCUCAACUCCAGAACUGCCUUUGAUACUGGCGACCUUGAGUCCGGGAGAGGUGAGUGGAACUGCGAGUGUAGAGGUGAAAUUCGUAGAUAUUCGCAAGAACACCAGUGGCGAAGGCGGCUCACUGGCCCAGUACUGACGCUGAGGUGCGAAAGCGUGGGGAGCAAACAGG
rnacentral:rRNA from 1 species